GACCUUAACAGGAAGCAGACCUUCCACAGCCCUAGAGUUUGAAAACUUGUAAAUGUAUUGCGCACGAUCCCGCUUUAAAUCAAGAUUUCUUUCAUACUUGCACAUCUUUCCCUUUUUGGCAUAGACUUGUAACGAUAGGGGACGACCCCAUCGGACAACAAAAACAAACCCCAAUGUGGGUAAGGUCGAAGGCCCGAUUAUUUGUAGACCGGAUGGGGAGAGAGGCCAUACAGCGCCCAUAUGUNCCCCCACAGCCAUGAUUAGGGACAGAAGGAGAACCUCGCCCUAACAUGAGCAAGGUCGAAGGCCCGAUUAUUUGUAGACCAGAUGG
rnacentral:lncRNA from 1 species